UCUCUGAUUUGGUCUGCAGUCAUUAUUAAAGGAGUUCAACAAUGUAGCUCACAGGUCAUAGUUCCAUAGGGCAUAGUUCUAGAGGGCAUAGUUUCAGAGGUCAUAGUUCCAGAGGAUGUAGUUCUAGAGGCGUAGUUCUAGGGGGUUUAUCUCCACAGGGUGUAGUUCCAAAGGGAGUAGUUCUAGAGGUCAUACUUCCAAAGGGAGUAAUUCUAGAGCUAAUACGUGCACCAAGUCCCGACUCUUUGGAAGGGAUGCAUUUAUUAGAUAAAAGGUCGGUGUGGGCUUGCUCGCUUCUCCUGUGAAUCAUGAUAACUCGAUGGAUCUCAUAGCCCUUGUGAUGGUGAUGUUUCAUUCAUAUUUCUUCCCUAUCAAAUUUUGAUGGUAGGGUAGAGGCCUACCAUGGUGGUGACGAGUGACGAAGAAUUAGGGUUUAAUUAUGGAGAGGGAGCCUGAGAAACGACUACCACAUCCAAGGCAGCAGGAACGCAAAUUACCCAAUCCUGACAUGGGGAGGUAGUGACAAUAAAUAAAAAUAACGGGCUCAUUGAGUUUGGUAAUUGGAAUGAGUAAAAUCUAAAUCCCUUAACGAGGAUCCAGUGGAGGGAAAGUUUGGUGCGAGCAGUCGCAAUACUUCCAACUCCAAUACCAUAUAUUUAAGUUGUUGCAGUUAAAAAGCUCGUAGUUGGAUAUUGGGUCAUAAAGGACAGUUCACCUACUCGGUGUCCACCUGUCCUUUCGUCCCUUUUGUCGGUGGUGUGCUCCUGGCCUUAAUUAGUUGGGUCACGGUUCCUGUGUUGUUACUUUGAAAAAAUUAGAGUGCUCAAAGGAAGCUUAUGCUCUGAAUACAUUAGCAUGGAAUAACGCGAUAGGAUUUUGGUCUUAUUGUGUUAAACUUCAGGACUAGAGUAAUGAUUAAUAGGGAUUGUCAGGG
rnacentral:ncRNA from 1 species